UGUGUGUGAGUUGGAUAUGGGGGUCUGCCGUUGACUUGUUCACGGCUCCUCCCAAAUGUGUUAGCUGUUUGGUGAUGAACCACUGUUGGCUUGAUAUCAUGUCUCUGCCGCGGUUGUACAUGUGCCAUUGCUCAUAAUUGUCUUCGGACAACUUUCUGACCUCGGGCCUCAAAUCAGGUAGGAUUACCCGCUGAACUUAA
rnacentral:misc_RNA from 1 species